rnacentral:lncRNA from 1 species
AUAUUGACAUCAUCAAAUUGAGGUAUGAAGAAAAUGCGUUGUGAUUUCGUUUGUAGAGUUAAUUUUAAUUUGGCUUGUGCGGAUAGUAUUUGUUCUGGUGAUUAUGAAUAUUUCACAGUUGUUACAUGGUUUUUGUUGCUAUGCUGCAUUUUCACAGGAUAAAGUUUCUAAGAAUAAUUUUCCCCAAUAGUGCUUAUGGAUGCUCUUGGUUGGAUGAAUGUGCCAUCGGAAUAUAGCCUCAGCAUACAAGUUUUCAC